rnacentral:rRNA from 1 species
GUCUGCAACCCGACUACAUGAAGCUGGAAUCGCUAGUAAUCGCGAAUCAGAAAUGUCGCGGUGAAUACGUUCCCGGGUCUUGUACACACCGCCCGUCACACCAUGGGAGUCGGAAAUGCCCGAAGUCAGUGACCCAACCGCAAGGAGGGAGCUGCCGAAGGUGGAGCCGGUAACUGGGGUGAAGUCGUAACAAGGUACC